rnacentral:lncRNA from 1 species
AGUCAUUGGACCUAAGCCUCAGCAAGGACACUUCCAGAGGCAAAGGGGCAAGUGGAAAUGCUAGGGCACAUCAAGGACACCUGAGCCUGCCUGCCUGCCUGCCUGCCUGUCCCAGAAGCUGCCUGGAGUAGGGAGUGUGAACGGGGAAGGCAGGAGCACAGGGAAGGAAGGAAGGAAGGAAGGAAGGAAGGAAGGAAGGAAGGAAGGAAAGAAGGAAGGAAGGAAGGAAGGAAGGAAGGAAGGGUGUUGGUUUUGUGAAUAGUCUGAGCACAUUUGUACGUAGGUUGAGUAGACCUGACAGUGGGGUUUCAAGUAGCCACAAGAAAAUCAGAGUUCAGCAUCAGCACAGGGGAGAAGGGAUGGGUAGAGAUGCAGGCCUCAUCUCUUUGGAUAUGAGAACUAGGGCUGUGAACGAGAGGGAAGGGAAAGGAGAGAGCAUGACAGAGGGCCAAAGAGCGCGUGGGGACACUAAACUUCCAGGCCAAAAAAGACCCCCCCAAAACAACAACAACAAAACAAACAAACAACAACAACAACAAAAAAAAAAAAAAACAGAGGAAACAAAGAAGGUGCUGGGAGGUAGCAGUGUAUCUUGGCAACCACAAUCAAGUCACUAUUGGACUCUCCUUGCUUUUGUGUUACUCUAUUGUGCAUGGUGUUUAUUGCAACUGCCCUCUUGGGGGCGGGGCUUAGCAUGUGAUAAUCACUCUGCUAAGUACUAGUCCAUAUUCCAUAUUCCAUGUAGAACCCUUAAGGUCUCUGUGGAAGGUGCACAGUUUUUUUAUAGUCCAUAUCAGGAAACAAGUUUAGGCAGGGAAACUAACUUUCUCAAAACCUGUGUCAUAUCUCCACUAGGAUUGGAGCCAGGCUUCCAGCCUUAUGUUAAACAUAUUGUCCUA